AAACCUUAGUAAUUUGACGGUAAAUAUUUCAUAGAGGAGCUUGUAACUUAAUCGAUAAUUCACGUAAAUCUUACUUAUAUUAAUUUUGUAUACCUCCGUAUAGAUUUUAUUUUAAAUUUUAAUAUUCUCUAAAUAAAAUAAUUUAUUACAUCAGGUCAAGGCACAGAGUAUAUAAGUUGUUAUGAGCUACAUUAAAUAAAUAAUUUUGAAUUAUAUUUUAAAAGAUAUAUGAAAUUGAAUUUAUAAGUAAAAUAUUAUAUAAAAUUUAUUUGAAAAGUAAGUAUUUAUGUACACAU
rnacentral:rRNA from 1 species